GACAGAGGGUGCAAACGUUGCUCGGAAUUACUGGGCGUAAAGCGCGUGUAGGCGGGCCGGAUAGUCAGGCGUGAAAUCCCUAGGCUCAACCUAGGAACUGCACCUGAAACUCCCGGUCUUGAGUGGUGGAGAGGAAAGCAGAAUUCCUGGUGUAGAGGUGAAAUUCGUAGAUAUCAGAAGGAACACCUGUGGUGUAGACGGCUUUCUGGACAACUCCUGACGCUGAGACACGAAAGCGUGGGUAGCAAACAGG
rnacentral:rRNA from 1 species